rnacentral:rRNA from 1 species
UACGUAGGGUGCAAGCGUUGUCCGGAAUUAUUGGGCGUAAAGAGCUCGUAGGCGGUCUGUCGCGUCUGCUGUGAAAACUCGGGGCUUAACCCCGGGCCUGCAGUGGGUACGGGCAGACUAGAGUGCGGUAGGGGAGACUGGAAUUCCUGGUGUAGCGGUGGAAUGCGCAGAUAUCAGGAGGAACACCGGUGGCGAAGGCGGGUCUCUGGGCCACUACUGACGCUGAGAAGCGAAAGCAUGGGGAGCGAACAGG